CCUACCAAGCCUACGAUCUAUAGCUGGUUUGAGAGGAUGAUCAGCCACACUGGGACUGAGACACGGCCCAGACUCCUACGGGAGGCAGCAGUGGGGAAUCUUAGACAAUGGGGGCAACCCUGAUCUAGCCAUGCCGCGUGAGUGAUGAAGGCCUUAGGGUCGUAAAGCUCUUUCGCUGGGGAAGAUAAUGACGGUACCCAGUAAAGAAACCCCGGCUAACUCCGUGCCAGCAGCCGCGGUAAUACGGAGGGGGUUAGCGUUGUUCGGAAUUACUGGGCGUAAAGCGCGCGUAGGCGGAUCAGAAAGUUGGGGGUGAAAUCCCGGGGCUCAACCUCGGAACUGCCUCCAAAACUCCUGGUCUUGAGUUCGAGAGAGGUGAGUGGAACUCCGAGUGUAGAGGUGAAAUUCGUAGAUAUUCGGAAGAACACCAGUGGCGAAGGCGGCUCACUGGCUCGAUACUGACGCUGAGGUGCGAAAGUGUGGGGAGCAAACAGGAUUAGAUACCCUGGUAGUCCACACCGUAAACGAUGAAUGCCAGUCGUCCGGGUAGCAUGCUAUUCGGUGACACCACCUAAACGGA
rnacentral:rRNA from 1 species